ensembl:lncRNA
AUGAGCUCAGCUGCAGGCAAUUGCGCACUUAAGGAGGCUUCUUACCUGUUUCUACUUCCUACUCUAGAGAAGAGGUGCUUAGUUGCAGGCAGGCUCGUGCGCUUCCUGCACACCACACACCACACACACACACACACGCCAAGGGAGUGGUUCUCAACUUGUGGGAACCCAGGUGUUUUGGCCUACAACUCCCAGAAAUCCCAGCUGUUAGGGUUUCUGGGAGUGAAGGCCAAAACAUCUAGGGAUCGACAGGUUGAGAACCACUGCUCCAAGGCAAGGCGGCAAGUUCUUCUGGCUUUCUUACAGAGGGGAGGAGAGGUACUUGGCCAGGCAGGCACAGUACACUUCCUGCACACCACACAUGCACUCUACAAGGCAAGGAGGCAAGCACCAUGCGCUCACAUAAAGCAGGAUCUCUGUUUCAGAAGAUGUGUUUAGAAGACUGCUUUGGGACCUGACGGCUUGCCUCCAUCGCUUUGGCUCUUGUGUUUACCUUGGACUGGAAUUCGGUGACUGUGACUUCUUCCUGAUGACCUGGACUGGAAUUCAGUGACUAUGACUUCUUCCUGACUACCUGGACUGGAAUUUGGUGACUGUGACUUCUCCCUGACAACUUGGACUGGAACUCGACGCCUGUGACUUCUCCCUAACGAUGCGGACUGGACGUGGCAACUGUGACUUCUCCUUUACAACGUGGUUUUGCUUUAGCAACGUUUUGGGGCAUUGUGUGGCCGUUGGUCACUGUGGGUUACUGCUGGUUUGUUUCAUGUGUUUGUUUAGCUCCAACCAGCAGGUGGAGCGAGUUUCCAGCCUUUUCAACUAAGUUUGUUUUAAUCUGGAUUAUUUCCCAGGAUAAUCCAAAUUAUAUCCCAAGUUUGGGUCUUUUGAGUUCUUUUUGGACAUUGUUACCUCACACUGAAGAGAAAGUGUUUUGAGCCUCCUUUUGGUUGUUUCUUAGGCUCUGUUAGGUUCUGCUAAGUUCAUUUCAGAAACUCCAACAUUUUAGCAUUUCACAAAUCUAGAUCUCCAAAAAUAUAUUUUCUUUUAAAUAAAAAGAUAAAUUAUAUAUUUCAUUGUAAUCUCUUGAUAAACUAUACAUCUUUUUGGGGGGGUACAGUGGCUAUCACACUGGAUAAGCAUUGUUUUGGUACAAGUAUUCCUCUUUUUCUCCCUUGAUCUCUGUUAAAUCUGUGUCGUGGAAAUAUAGUUGUGCUUACUGGCAAUUGCCAUAUUAAGUAGUUCCGGGAUAAUAAAAACAGACUACCAAGUAUAAAUAUUUUUCAUUUUAGAAAAUACUAGGUUAAUUGAAAUUGACCAGGGAGGUAGGAAUUAAAAGCCCUUUGUAGUAUUAGGAGUUUCCAUAAAAUAGUUUGAGAUGAAGAAAAUGUCAUAUAGAGCUCCAAAAUAAAAUUGGGUUGUACAGGAACAAACUUGGGAUUUCCUGAGAUUUUUCCCAUCUGGAAGGGGCCCAAGUAUUUAUUUUCUUUUCCCUCUACUUUUGAUAUUUUGCAAUGAGCUCUAGAUGGUGUCUCUUGUUAUUAUUGACACCUUGCAUGAUUUCCAUUCUGGUCAGUUGGCAAUUGUCAUUCUGUGCAAGACAGGUCUGAGACAACCACAAAAAGAUCAAGACCAAGUUACUUUUCCCCUCUAACCAUCCCAUGCUAGAGGGCUUGCUGACGGCAAACGGUUUCAUACUAACUCUUUGGUACUGGAGUACUGAUGCGCCCAAGGUUAUGGAUUCACUCUUUGCUUGGAGGCAAUGAUAAUCUUGUUCUACAGGGAUUUAUAAAACCCUGAGGCAAAUAUAGUUGAUAGAGAAGGAGCAUAAAUCCCUAAAGUUUUUAGGGCCAAUGUAACUCUUUCCAGGCACAAACAGAAUGAUUCUAUCUUUUGAAAGUGCCUAUUUUUAAUGUCCUUGGAUUUUGUCCCACCAGGAGCUUCUGUGCUAAUGGAGGACAAUCUAUCCCAGCUGCAAAUUUCAGGAGCAGAUUCCUGUUCGCAAUUAUACAAGCUCUCUGUCCUUUGGACUAUGUACAGGACAAUUUCUAACAAGCAAUGAAUCUGUGAGAUUGUUGGAUUAGAAACUAGGACAUCCUAGCCAGAAUUCUAGUAGGGAAUUACAAAUUCUGGAGCAUUGUAGUGCUAUGCAGUGAAUCCUGCCCCAAUCUUCCCAAUUCUAACAUAGUAGUCAGAAGGUACUGUGAUCAAUAAAGGUCUGUUCCCCUGUCAAUUGAGAAGCUGCUGACUAACAGUCCCACCUCAGGAGCAAUCUUUGGUGUGACAGGCACAAACAGGACCCCUGUCCCAAUUCUCCUUUAUGUUAUAAAGUGUUAUUAUGCUACACUGGGAUCCAUCUUGAACCAUGUUCAGUUAAGUUAGCCUUAGGAUCUCAUCACAUUGGGAAAUUUACCCAAUGGUUCCAAUGGUGUCAAAGAAUAUACAGUAGAGUCUCACUUAUCCAACAUAAAGGGGCUGGCAGAAUGUUGGAUAAGCGAAUAUGUUGGAUAAUAAGGAGAGAUCAAGAAAAAACCUAUUAAACAUCAAAUUUGGUUAUGAUUUUACAAAUUCAGCACCAAAACAUCAUGCUAUACAACAAAUUGGACAGAAAAAGUAGUUCAAUAAGCAGUAAUGCUAUGCUGUAAUUACUGUAUUUACGAAUUUAGCACCAAAACAUCACGAUAUAUUGAAAACAUUGACUACAAAAAUGCGUUGGAUAAUCCAGAACAUUGGAUAAGUGAGUGUUGGAUAACUGAGACUCUACUGUAAUAAUAAUAAUAAUAAUAAUAAUAAUAAUAAUAAUAAUAAUAAUAAUAAUAGAUAGGUCAAUAAUAAUAAUUCUUACUUUAUUUCUUA